GAACAUAAGAGUUUGAUCCUGGCUCAGAUUGAACGCUGGCGGCAUGCUUUACACAUGCAAGUCGGACGGCAGCACGAGUACUUGUACUUGGUGGCGAGUGGCGAACGGGUGAGUAAUAUAUUGGAACGUACCGAGUAAUGGGGGAUAACUAUCCGAAAGGAUAGCUAAUACCGCAUACGCUUUGAGAAGGAAAGCAGGGGAUCUUCGGACCUUGCGUUAUUCGAGCGGCCAAUAACUGAUUAGCUAGUUGGUGGGGUAAGGGCCCACCAAGGCGACGAUCAGUAGCGGGUCUGAGAGGAUGAUCCGCCACACUGGGACUGAGACACGGCCCAGACUCCUACGGGAGGCAGCAGUGGGGAAUUUUGGACAAUGGGCGAAAGCCUGAUCCAGCCAUGCCGCGUGUCUGAAGAAGGCCUUCGGGUUGUAAAGGACUUUUGUUAGGGAAGAAAAGGUUGAUGCUAAUAUCAUUAACUGAUGACGGUACCUAAAGAAUAAGCACCGGCUAACUACGUGCCAGCAGCCGCGGUAAUACGU
rnacentral:rRNA from 1 species